GGUUAAGCGACUAAGCGUACACGGUGGAUGCCCUGGCAGUCAGAGGCGAUGAAGGACGUGCUAAUCUGCGAAAAGCGUCGGUAAGGUGAUAUGAACCGUUAUAACCGGCGAUGUCCGAAUGGGGAAACCCAGUGCAAUUCGUUGCACUAUCGUUAACUGAAUACAUAGGUUAACGAGGCGAACCGGGGGAACUGAAACAUCUAAGUACCCCGAGGAAAAGAAAUCAACCGAGAUUCCCCCAGUAGCGGCGAGCGAACGGGGAGCAGCCCAGAGUCUGAAUCAGCUUGUGUGUUAGUGGAACGGUCUGGAAAGUCCGACGGUACAGGGUGAUAGUCCCGUACACCAAAAUGCACAGGUUGUGAACUCGAAGAGUAGGGCGGGACACGUGGUAUCCUGUCUGAAUAUGGGGGGACCAUCCUCCAAGGCUAAAUACUCCUGACUGACCGAUAGUGAACCAGUACCGUGAGGGAAAGGCGAAAAGAACCCCGGCGAGGGGAGUGAAAAAGAACCUGAAACCGUGUACGUACAAGCAGUGGGAGCACCUUCGGGUGUGACUGCGUACCUUUUGUAUAAUGGGUCAGCGACUUAUAUUCUGUAGCAAGGUUAACCGUAUAGGGGAGCCGCAGGGAAACCGAGUCUUAACUGGGCGUUAAGUUGCAGGGUAUAGACCCGAAACCCGGUGAUCUAGCCAUGGGCAGGUUGAAGGUUGGGUAACACUAACUGGAGGACCGAACCGACUAAUGUUGAAAAAUUAGCGGAUGACUUGUGGCUGGGGGUGAAAGGCCAAUCAAACCGGGAGAUAGCUGGUUCUCCCCGAAAGCUAUUUAGGUAGCGCCUCGUGAAUUCAUCUUCGGGGGUAGAGCACUGUUUCGGCUAGGGGGUCAUCCCGACUUACCAACCCGAUGCAAACUACGAAUACCGAAGAAUGUUAUCACGGGAGACACACGGCGGGUGCUAACGUCCGUCGUGAAGAGGGAAACAACCCAGACCGCCAGCUAAGGUCCCAAAGUCAUGGUUAAGUGGGAAACGAUGUGGGAAGGCACAGACAGCCAGGAUGUUGGCUUAGAAGCAGCCAUCAUUUAAAGAAAGCGUAAUAGCUCACUGGUCGAGUCGGCCUGCGCGGAAGAUGUAACGGGGCUAAACCAUGCACCGAAGCUGCGGCAGCGACACUAUGUGUUGUUGGGUAGGGGAGCGUUCUGUAAGCCUGCGAAGGUGACCUGUGAGGGUUGCUGGAGGUAUCAGAAGUGCGAAUGCUGACAUAAGUAACGAUAAAGCGGGUGAAAAGCCCGCUCGCCGGAAGACCAAGGGUUCCUGUCCAACGUUAAUCGGGGCAGGGUGAGUCGACCCCUAAGGCGAGGCCGAAAGGCGUAGUCGAUGGGAAACAGGUUAAUAUUCCUGUACUUGGUGUUACUGCGAAGGGGGGACGGAGAAGGCUAUGUUAGCCGGGCGACGGUUGUCCCGGUUUAAGCAUGUAGGCUGGUUAUCCAGGCAAAUCCGGAUAAUCAAGGCUGAGGUGUGAUGACGAGGCACUACGGUGCUGAAGUAACAAAUGCCCUGCUUCCAGGAAAAGCCUCUAAGCAUCAGGUAACAUCAAAUCGUACCCCAAACCGACACAGGUGGUCAGGUAGAGAAUACCAAGGCGCUUGAGAGAACUCGGGUGAAGGAACUAGGCAAAAUGGUGCCGUAACUUCGGGAGAAGGCACGCUGGUGUGUAGGUGAAGCCCCUGCGGGUGGAGCUGAGACCAGUCGAAGAUACCAGCUGGCUGCAACUGUUUAUUAAAAACACAGCACUGUGCAAACACGAAAGUGGACGUAUACGGUGUGACGCCUGCCCGGUGCCGGAAGGUUAAUUGAUGGGGUUAUCCGUAAGGAGAAGCUCUUGAUCGAAGCCCCGGUAAACGGCGGCCGUAACUAUAACGGUCCUAAGGUAGCGAAAUUCCUUGUCGGGUAAGUUCCGACCUGCACGAAUGGCGUAAUGAUGGCCAGGCUGUCUCCACCCGAGACUCAGUGAAAUUGAACUCGCUGUGAAGAUGCAGUGUACCCGCGGCAAGACGGAAAGACCCCGUGAACCUUUACUAUAGCUUGACACUGAACAUUGAGCCUUGAUGUGUAGGAUAGGUGGGAGGCUUUGAAGCGUGGACGCCAGUCUGCGUGGAGCCAACCUUGAAAUACCACCCUUUAAUGUUUGAUGUUCUAACGUUGGCCCCUUACCGGGGUUGCGGACAGUGUCUGGUGGGUAGUUUGACUGGGGCGGUCUCCUCCCAAAGCGUAACGGAGGAGCACGAAGGUUAGCUAAUCCUGGUCGGACAUCAGGAGGUUAGUGCAAUGGCAUAAGCUAGCUUGACUGCGAGCGUGACGGCGCGAGCAGGUGCGAAAGCAGGUCAUAGUGAUCCGGUGGUUCUGAAUGGAAGGGCCAUCGCUCAACGGAUAAAAGGUACUCCGGGGAUAACAGGCUGAUACCGCCCAAGAGUUCAUAUCGACGGCGGUGUUUGGCACCUCGAUGUCGGCUCAUCACAUCCUGGGGCUGAAGUAGGUCCCAAGGGUAUGGCUGUUCGCCAUUUAAAGUGGUACGCGAGCUGGGUUUAGAACGUCGUGAGACAGUUCGGUCCCUAUCUGCCGUGGGCGCUGGAGAAUUGAGGGGGGCUGCUCCUAGUACGAGAGGACCGGAGUGGACGCAUCACUGGUUUUCGGGUUGUCAUGCCAAUGGCACUGCCCGGUAGCUAAAUGCGGAAGAGAUAAGUGCUGAAAGCAUCUAAGCACGAAACUUGCCCCGAGAUGAGUUCUCCCUGAGACUUUAAGUCUCCUGAAGGAACGUUGAAGACGACGACGUUGAUAGGCCGGGUGUGUAAGCGCAGCGAUGCGUUGAGCUAACCGGUACUAAUGAACCGUGAGGCUUAACCUU
rnacentral:rRNA from 1 species